rnacentral:rRNA from 1 species
UGCCAGCAGCCGCGGUAACACGGGGGGCGCAAGCGUUAUUCGGAAUUAUUGGGCGUAAAGGGCGCGCAGGCGGUCUUGUCAGUCUGAUGUGAAAGCCCGGGGCUCAACCCCGGAAGUGCAUUGGAAACUGGCGAACUUGAGUACGGGAGAGGAAAGUGGAAUUCCGAGUGUAGGGGUGAAAUCCGUAGAUAUUCGGAGGAACACCAGUGGCGAAGGCGGCUUUCUGGACCGAUACUGACGCUGAGACGCGAAAGCGUGGGGAGCAAACAGGAUUAGCUA